GCAUAUCAUAAGCGCAGGGAAAAGAAAACCCAACAGGGAUUGCCUCAGUAAACGGCGAGUGAAGCGGCAACAGCUCAAAUUUGAAAUCUGGCCUCCCGGGGUCCGAGUUGUAAUUUGUAGAGGAUGUUUUGGGUACCGCCCCGGUUUAAAUUUCUUGGAACAGAAUGUCAGAGAGGGUGAGAAUCCCGUCUUGGACCGGCGGUAGGGCCUGUGUAAAACUCCUUCGACGAGUCGAGUUGUUUGGGAAUGCAGCUCAAAAUGGGUGGUAAAUUUCAUCUAAAGCUAAAUAUUGGCCAGAGACCGAUAGCGCACAAGUAGAGUGAUCGAAAGAUGAAAAGAACUUUGAAAAGAGAGUUAAACAGUAUGUGAAAUUGUUGAAAGGGAAGCGCUUGCAACCAGACUUGAGCGCGACGGUUCCCCUAGCCUUUUGGCUAGGUUACUCCGUCGUGUCCAGGCCAACAUCGGUUCUGAGGGUCGGUCAAAGGCUCUGGGAAUGUAUCUACCCACGGGUAGACUUAUAGACCAGGGUGUCAUGCGACCUCUCGGGACCGAGGAACGCGCUUCGGCUCGGAUGUUGGCGUAAUGGUUGUCAGCGACCCGUCUUGAAACACGGACCAAGGAGUCUAACAUCUAUGCGAGUGUUUGGGUGUCAAACCCGGAACGCGAAAUGAAAGUGAACGGAGGUAGGAAGCUUCGGCUGCACUAUCGACCGAUCCUGAAGUUUACGGAUGGAUUUGAGUAAGAGCAUAGCUGUUGGGACCCGAAAGAUGGUGAACUAUGCCUGAAUAGGGUGAAGCCAGAGGAAACUCUGGUGGAGGCUCGCAGCGGGUUCUGACGUGCAAAUCGAUCGUCAAAUUUGGGUAUAGGGGCGAAAGACUAAUCGAACCAUCUGGUAGCUGGGUUCUGCGA
rnacentral:rRNA from 1 species